rnacentral:rRNA from 1 species
GUAGGGAAUAUUGCACAAUGGGCGCAAGCCUGAUGCAGCAACGCCGCGUGCACGAUGAAGGCCUUCGGGUUGUAAAGUGCUUUUCUGGAGGACGAGACAGGACGGUACUUCAGGAAUAAGGAUCGGCUAACUACGUGCCAGCAGCCGCGGUAACACGUAGGAUCCGAGCGUUAUCCGAAUUUACUGGGCGUAAAGCGCGUGUAGGCGGCAAGGUAAGUUGGACGUGAAAUCUCCUGGCUCAACUGGGAGGGGUCGUUCAAGACUGCCUGGCUAGAGGGCGGUAGAGGGAGGUGGAAUUCCCGGUGUAGUGGUGAAAUGCGUAGAUAUCGGGAGGAACACCAGUGGCGAAGGCGGCCUCCUGGGCCGCACCUGACGCUCAGACGCGAAAGCUAGGGGAGCGAACGGGAUUAGAAACCCCAGUAGUCC